rnacentral:rRNA from 1 species
GACGAACGCUGGCGGCGUGCUUAACACAUGCAAGUCGAACGGAAAGGCCCUGCUUUUGUUGGGUGCUCGAGUAGCGAACGGGUGAGUAACACGUGAGUAACCUGCCCUUGACUUUGGGAUAACUUCAGGAAACUGGGGCUAAUACCGGAUAGGAGCUCCUGCUGCAUGGUGGGGGAUGGAAAGUUUCGGCGGUUGGGGAUGGACUCGCGGCUUAUCAGCUUGUUGGUGGGGUAGUGGCUUACCAAGGGUUUGACGGGUAGCCGGCCUGAGAGGGGUACCGGCCACAUUGGGACUGCGGUACGGCCCAGACUGCUACGGGAGGCAGUAGUGGGGAAUAUUGCACAAUGGGCGGAAGCCUGAUGAAGAAACGCCGCGUGCGGGAUGACGGCCUUCGGGUUGUAAACCGCUUUCGCCUGUGACGAAGCGUGAGUGACGGUAAUGGGUAAAGAAGCACCGGCUAACUACGUG